AGGUCUGAAUGUAGUCUAGCUGUGGCAUCUGUCACCAGGUUGAUUGCCAGCACUGACUAAGCUGGCAUCUUAGCCCAGAGUUCCCUUCCUCUGAGAGCUCCAUGGGUGUUUUUCCCAAAGUUUCAACUCAAUAAAAAAAAAUGACAUUUCCAAACUGACAAAGUCUAUUGUUAAUCAAGGUAUAUGGGGAGCUGUACUUUCUGGCUAGAUCUUCCCAACAAGCAUUGACAUCCCUUUGCAAGCAAAUGUAGGUUAGCCAAAUCUGUCUUACAAAGUGUCUCCUCCACCUGAUGUUUCGUU
rfam:Equus caballus chromosome 3, whole genome shotgun sequence.